AGCUGCACCUCCCGCGUGACCCCUCUAGCCAGCUGGGCCCCUCAGAUGAGAGUUGCAUCCAGGCCAGCACUAGCCGCUCAGCCACCAGCAGCGGCACCCCCAUCUGCAGUUGGCUCUCCUGCUGCUGUGCCCCGUCUGAUGGCCCAAAUGGCAACCACUGCAGCUGGCGCGGCUGUGGGCUCUGCCGUGGGGCACACACUGGGUCACGCCAUUACUGGGGGGUUUAGUGGAGGAAGUAAUGCUGAGCCUGCGAGGCCUGACAUCACUUACCAGGAGCCUCAGGGAACCCAGCUGGCACAGCAGCAGCAGCCUUGCUUCUAUGAGAUCGAACAGUUUCUGGAGUGUGCCCAGAACCAUGGUGACAUCAAGCUCUGUGAGGGUUUCAAUGAGGUGCUGAAACAGUGCCGACUGGCAAAACGAUUGGCCUGA
rnacentral:lncRNA from 1 species